rnacentral:ncRNA from 1 species
GUGCUUGUGCGUGACUGGCGAUAAGCGAGGUGUCUGACAGACCCCUCAGACGUGGAUGACCACGAGGAAGCGCACCGCGUCAACACACAUGUUAAUUAAAUGUGUCGGCGUGCCAAGCCGUUCGCCUGGGUCAACCAC